GACGUAGGGGGCAAACGUUGCUCGGAAUCACUGGGCUUAAAGAGCACGUAGGCGGUUCGCCCAGUCCGAUGUGAAAUCCCCCGGCUCAACCGGGGAAUUGCGUCGGAAACUGGCGGGCUAGAGGAUUGGAAGGGAGACGGGAACUCCUGGUGGAGCGGUGAAAUGCGUAGAUAUCAGGAGGAACACCGGUGGCGAAAGCGCGUCUCUGGCCAGUUCCUGACGCUGAGGUGCGAAAGCUAGGGGCGCAAACAGG
rnacentral:rRNA from 1 species